CAAUUUGUUCCAGUGUCACAAUGGUGGCUUUGUGGGGUGUAGGGUGCUGUGGUGUGCUUAGAGUUUGGUCAGACAAAGACACUAAGAUCAUCUAGUGCAUCUUGGGCCAUCACCAGUUGUCCUGACUUUUUUUUCCAUCACUGGACUUUGAUGACUCUAGAAUAGUGAGUGAAACCUCACUCAAAUCCAACUCCCUUGUCAAUCAUCACCCCGGUGAUAUCAUUAGUCUUCUUCAAAAAGGAAGGACAAAAAACAAUUGCAUGGGAGGAACAGCAAGAAAGCAGAGAGUACAAAAAGCUUCUGGGAAAAAGAGGUGCUUCAAGAGAGAAAGAACUUCAAGGAAACAGGACUGAGGGUGGAGAGAAAAGUCUCAGAUAGAAAGGACUUAGUAAAUGUUUCUUGAAUUUAAUUCAACUAACUUGUAUGAUGCUGUUGGUUAGAGGAAAAACAAGAAAACAAAACUCUUGGAACAAAUAUCGUAAUUAAGAAAGCAAAUUCUCUGCUCCAAAAAUGGCUCAUUUUGAAUGCCUGCUUCCUCAUUGGUCUUCUGAAAAAGUGUUUUUUUGCUUUUUCAAUUCUGAGGUACCACCUCACACCUAUCAGAUUGGCCAAUAUGACAGUACAGGAAAGUGACAAAUGGUAGAAGGGAUGUGGCAAAAGUGGGGCAUUAAUGCAUUGUUGAUGGAGUUGUGAACCAAUCCAACCAAGCUGGAGGGCACUUUAUAACUAUGCCCAAAGGGCCAUAAAACUGUGUAUACCUUUUGAUCCUGUAGUACCACUAUUGGGUCUGUUUCCCAAAGAGAUCAUAAAAAAGGGGAAAGGAUCUAUUUGUACAAAAAUAUUCUUUUUGGGGGGCUUUCUAUGGUGGCAAUUGGAAAUUGAGGGGAUGUUCAUCAAUUGGGGAAUGGCUGAACCAAUUGUGAUAUAUUGAUGAUGGAAUACUAUUGUGCUCUGUAAGGAAUGAUGAGCAGUAUGAUUUCAGAAAAUACUGGAAAGAGCUACGUGAACUAAUGAGGAGUAAAAUAAAUAGAACUGGGCGAACACUGUACAAAGUAACAGCAAUAUUGACACAAUGAUCCAUGGUGAAAGACUUAGUUACUCUCAGCAAUCUAAUGAUCCAGGACAAUUCUGAAGGAUUUAUGACAAAGAAUGCUAUCCACCUCCAGAGAAGGAACUGUUGAAGUCAGAAUGCAGAUCAAAGCAUACUAUUUCUCAUAUUAGUCUAUUUAUGGUUUGAUUUUUGGGGUUUUGGUUUUAUGUAAGUAUUCUCUUACAACAAUGAUCAUUAUGGAAGUAUGUUUUGUAUGAUAAAUGUAUAACCCAGAUCAAAUUGCUUACCAUCUGCAAGAGGGGGGAGGGAAGGGAGGGAAGGAGACAGUUUGGAUCUUACAAUUUCGGGAAAUGUAUGCUGAAAAUUGUUAUUGCAUGAACUGGAGAAAAUAAAAUCUCUGAAAAUUAAAAA